rnacentral:piRNA from 1 species
UGCCCCAGAGCUGCACCUGGCCCCAGGGAC